UACAGAGGGUGCAAGCGUUAAUCGGAAUCACUGGGCGUAAAGCGCACGUAGGCGGACUCUUAAGUCGGUGGUGAAAUCCUGGAGCUCAACUCCAGAACUGCCUUCGAUACUGAGAGUCUCGAGUCCGGGAGAGGUGAGUGGAACUGCGAGUGUAGAGGUGAAAUUCGUAGAUAUUCGCAAGAACACCAGUGGCGAAGGCGGCUCACUGGCCCGGUACUGACGCUGAGGUGCGAAAGCGUGGGGAGCAAACAGG
rnacentral:rRNA from 1 species